GACGUAGGGCGCGAGCGUUGUCCGGAUUUAUUGGGCGUAAAGAGCGUGUAGGCGGCCAGGUAGGUCCGGUGUGAAAACUCGAGGCUUAACCUCGAGAUGUCAUCGGAAACCAUCUGGCUAGAGUGCGGAAGAGGCGAGUGGAAUUCCUGGUGUAGCGGUGAAAUGCGCAGAUAUCAGGGGGAACACCGAUUGCGAAGGCAGCUCGCUGGGACGUCACUGACGCUGAGACGCGAAAGCGUGGGGAGCAAACAGG
rnacentral:rRNA from 1 species